UACGAAGGGUGCAAGCGUUACUCGGAAUUACUGGGCGUAAAGCGUGCGUAGGUGGUUUGUUAAGUCUGCUGUGAAAGCCCCGGGCUCAACCUGGGAAUGGCAUUGGAAACUGGCUCGCUGGAGUGUGGCAGAGGGGGGUGGAAUUCCGCGUGUAGCAGUGAAAUGCGUAGAGAUGCGGAGGAACACCGAUGGCGAAGGCAGCCCCCUGGGCUGACACUGACGCUCAGGCACGAAAGCGUGGGGAGCGAACAGG
rnacentral:rRNA from 1 species